rnacentral:rRNA from 1 species
GCCAAAGGCGCCCGAAGGCWGGGGGCCGGUGUGGGAUGCUMGCGGGGUACCCGCGGGGCGGCSCGCCCCCGAGCCCCCCACCCGUKCCCGSSWAUCAUCCUUCCUGGCCAGCUAAUCCCCCGACCCCCCCCCCCGAGGCCCWUUCCAACAUCCGAGGCCACGAACCKGCACCCCCAAAGACGCCCGACUCCUAACACCCCUCCUAAUCCAGCUCCAAUAGCGUAUAUUAAAGUUGUUGCAGUUAAAAAGCUCGUAGUUGGAUUUCGGAAGGUCCUUAGCAAUCCGCCCCUUCGGGGAGCGGGUUGCUGGCCUCCUAUGUUCCUAACGGUCCUCAUCCGCGAGGGUGGGGAAUCAACCGCUAGGAUCGUUUACUUUGAGGAAAUUAGAGUGUUCAAAGCAGGCGUAACUCGCCUCCGAAUACGUUAGCAUGGGAUAAUGGAAUACGACUUCGGUCUUGUUUCGUUGGUUUCGCUUGGCUGAAGUAAUGAUUGAUAGGGACAGUUGGGGGCAUUAGUAUUUAGUUGUCAGAGGUGAAAUUCUAGGAUUUACUAAAGACUGACCAAUGCGAAAGCAUUUGCCAAGGAUGUUUUCAUUAAUCAAGAACGAAAGUAGGGGGAUCGAAGACGAUCAGAUACCGUCGUAGUCUCUACCGUAAACUAUGCCGACCAGGGAUCCGGAGAGUUUGCAUGGAUGACUCCCCGGGCACCUUGUGAGAAAUCAUAAGUGUUUGGGUUUUGGGGGGAGUAUGGUCGCAAGGCUGAAACUAAAGGAAUGACGMCGUACCCACMMCGGUU